rnacentral:rRNA from 1 species
UAAAAAUAUAUUUUGAAUAAAGAUUUCUCGAAUUUAGGAGGGCUAGAAGAGUAUGAAUUUUACUGUGAAAUAAUUAUUUAAAAUACUUUUCUUGUAAUGAGAUAUUAGCCGUUCUUUAAUAUAUCUAGUUUUUUUAGAAAUUAAUUUAAUUAAGCUGGUCUGUAAUUAAUUUUAUUGAGAAAUUUAUUUAGGGAUUAAGUAAUACUUAAGGGGAUAAGCUUUUAAGUAGAUUAUUAAAACAUUAAUUUAGUUUGAUUUGUGGUAGGAAUAGAAGUUUCCAUUCUUUGUAGUGAGUAAUUUUUAGAUUUUAAUUAUUGUGAUUUUUUAAGGUUUAGGUUUUUUAUAAGAAUAGGAUAUUAAAUUGGAUAUUAUAUGAAAUAAUGAUUGAAUAAGUAUAUUAUUAUGUUUACUUAAAGUGAGGAAAGGAGAAUUAGUUAAGGAAUUCGGCAAAUUUGUUUCUUGCCUGUUUAUUAAAAACAUGGCCUUUUGCUAAUAAUUUAAGGUCUGGCCUGCCCUAUGAUUUAUUUAAUGGCCGCGGUACUCUGACCGUGCAAAGGUAGCAUAAUCAUUAGUUUUUUAAUUGAAAGCUGGAAUGAACGGUCGGACAAGGAAACAACUGUCUCUAUUAAUAAAGUAGAAUUUUAUUUUUUAGUAAAAAAGCUAAAAUAAGCUUAAGGGACGAGAAGACCCUAUAGAAUUUUAUAAGUUAUUAGUUAAUUGGUUUUUAGGUUAUUUAAUUGAUUGGUUAAUUACUUAUUUUGUUGGGGUGACAAUAAAAUUUAUUGAACUUUUAUUAAUUAAGUUUACUGGUUUGUAAAUAAUUGAUCCACGUUUAGUGAUUAUAAGAUUAAAUUACCUUAGGGAUAACAGCGUGAUUAGUUUGGAGAGUUCUUAUCGAUAGACUAGUUUGCGACCUCGAUGUUGGAUUAAAAUGAACUUUUGGUGUAGGGGCUAUUAGGUUGAGUCUGUUCGACUUUUAAAAUUUU